rnacentral:rRNA from 1 species
UACGUAGGGGGCAAGCGUUAUCCGGAUUUACUGGGUGUAAAGGGAGCGUAGGCGGCGCGUUAAGUCUGAUGUGAAAACCCGAGGCUCAACCACGGGAGUGCAUUGGAAACUGGCGGGCUGGAGUGCCGGAGAGGUAAGCGGAAUUCCUAGUGUAGCGGUGAAAUGCGUAGAUAUUAGGAGGAACACCAGUGGCGAAGGCGGAUGACUGGACGGCAACUGACGGUGAGGCGCGAAAGCGUGGGGAGCAAACAGG